UAGUGGUGGGAAGGUUCAUUCUAUACUGCCGUACCACCACAAUUCACCUCUAGUGUUGUGGGCCAUCAUAAUGAAAUAGAAGGUUUCUGAAGAAAUAAAAGAAGACUAAAGACAAAGAAAUGAAAGAAAAGGCUGUAGAAAACACACAAAUUCAGAUUUAGAAACAAAAGGAGGCCAGGUAUAGGAAAAUAUAAGAAUCAAAGAAGACAUGCAUGAAUGGCAUACAAAACCAAUGGCUCGCUCUCUAUUUGGAAGGAGGAAAAGAAUCACCUUCAUAGUUAUAAGGAGAAUGAAGGACGAAGUUACCGAGAACAGAAGUAUGGAAUGGACCACAAAAUACAAAGCAAGUGCUGACUUGUAUGGGGAAUGUGAGCCACACAUAGCACUGAGAGACAGAUGAAGCAGAGCUGCUGUUUUAAUUUCUACACAACAGUGCCACUCGGUGGAUGGACAAUGGCAGUGAAGGUGGAUGGAGACGCCACGGAUGGAGCAUCCCAGGGAUCCCACAGGAUUCAGCCCGGGAUGCUGCUGCAGGUCCGUACCUGGGAGCGCAGUGGGGUUCUGCGCGGGGCCGGGCAGUGCAGCAUCGCCACUGGGGGCAUCGCCUGCCAAGCAAAGAGACAUGUUAGUGUGGGACUCUGGUCUGAAUAGGGGCUUGGUGGCGUCCGAUGGGACAUUAUGGCAAAAUCCCAGGGGACAUUUGAACAAUUGCUGCAUUAUACACUGCCUGUGGAAAAGCUGAUUGGGGAGUAUCAUAUUCAUGCUGUCAGAAAAAUUUUAUCAUUACCUAAGGAUAUGCAAUUUUUUUUUUUUCAACUGAAAAAAAAAAAAAAAACCCCGACAUUUUUUAAUACAGCAUCUUAUUUCACUUUUAUUUAUUUAUUUAUUUUAAAUUCUGCUAUCACUACAGACAACUUCUCUUAUUUUCCUUCAGGAAAAACACAGUCAUUUUCUAGUUUGUUAGUAUUUCUAAAGAUGGAGAUCAUUUCUUUAGGGCAUGUUAGGUGACUGUGGCAAUUCUGUUCACGCUACAACAAAUUCUUCAGAAGUAUCAACUCGUAAAAACAAACAGAAGUCUGGAAAUGCUUUAAAUAGCUGAUCACAGUUUUGGCAGAACAUCUUCAGAUUGGUCCUCUAAUGUGUCCUUGUGAUAAAGUGGCACUCAAAUGAAAAGCCUUUUGGGUUUCACAGAGAAAGGACCUGGAAGGAAAACUGUAACUUGCACAGUGAAGGAAGAAGUGAAAGACUAUUUUUCUUUCUUUCUACAUUUUUUUUUUUUCCUGGCAGCACAUUACCAUUUGGUAGGCAAAGAUUGCACAGUUUCUGAAUGCUCAAGAAUCUGGUGGGCAGAUAAGGGCAACAAUUCUGCUUUUUUUUCUUCCCAGUUUUUUUUCAUUAUCAUUAGUUUUGUCUCUCAAGACCGUGAACUCAGCUGACAAUCCAAUGAACUCUAGAUUUUAAUUUGACCUUUGUGCCUAUGAAUUCUUUCACUGUAUAGGAUCAAAAGAAUAUUUUAAUCCCUUUUGUAUUAGCAGGCUGCCUCACAGAAGUAAUCAGUAAUGACACCCGGCCUUCUGUGCUAAGGACAGACUGAAUGGGAUUAAUAUAUUACUAGAAGGAACUGAUUUUCCAAUUAGGUGUCUGGAUAUUUCAUUCAACUGUGAUUUGUAAUGCUGAAGACUCAUCUGGAAUUACAGUCUUGCAAUUAGGAUUUUUUUUUUUUGUCUGUCUACUGUUUUUCCAUGUAUAUUCUCUAAAUCAUAUGCAUGUUUUUCUUAAAGAAACUCAACAAGUGCAAACCCUUUGGAACGAGAAACAAUUCUUAUUGAUGAUAUAAAACACUCAUCCCUCACACAGAGCACAGCACUCAUGGAUGUAUGAGUGACAUCUUUCACUGCUGCAGCUUUGUGACAGGAGCGAGUGCUAUCAGUGCCAAAGCACAGCUGUAAAAGCUGGAGUAGGAUUAUUUUGCCAUCCUUCAAGACAUUUUGUCACCGAUGACUUCUUCACAAUUCAAACAAAGUAGAUUAGGCAGUGAACUUAAUCUCUUCAAAUUCACAGUACUCUAUGUAUUAAUUGAAAUUAUCAACACUACUUGAGCAUUCAAAACCUGAAAGGACUGAAAUAAUGAGAAAAAACGGAUAAUGGUCUUGAUCCCUGUCAGACUCACAGUACUUUGGUCUUUUGUUUACAUUGUCCAACCCAGCAUCUAUGAGUACUGCACUGACUGGAAGUGCAAAUGACUAUCUAUUUAAAUGAAAAAUGCUUGCCUCUGCCUACCUCAGCUAAAUGACUAAGCUCCAGAAAUCUAAGAUGAACUGAAAACAUGGUGAUGAAUGGGAACACUGGAAAGCUAGAUACAGUUUGUCAGUAACUUAGGAUCCUCAUAGUUAGAAACCACAUCAAUCAGUUUUGAGAAAUCCAAAAGUUAGAGCAGAAUUCAGUUUGAUAGAAGCCAAUGCACAAAGUCAGAAGGUACUUUGGCACAAACAGAAGGGGCAGAAUAAGGACUUUUCUCUCCUAACCCCUGUCCCCUGGAAGCACUUCGCUCAGAGCUGCUGAGAAGUGUCCUCACCCACGGUGGACCCACUGCCCACAGCACUUUCUUGGAGGUACAGAUACCAUCAUCUUGCAAAAACUUAAAAAACUGACUUUUAAGACAUGAUAGAGAAGACACUAUGUGCUGUGUGCCAGCACUUGUAGUUGGCUGCCAUCAUUCAAAAUUUCAGUCCAGCUACAGGCGAUGUACUGAUAACUGAUCUGGAACAACAAGCACAGUACUAAAAGGUAAGAUAAAACUCACUGUUACCUCAACUGAUUAAAAAAGUAUAUUUAAAAUUUGUUGCCUUUAAAUUACAUCUCAAGUGAUGCACCAAACAUUGAUAUACUAUCUAUACAGAAAUAAGUGCACAGUUUGUGCAUGACAAUCACCGAAGUCUAACUACAAUUUCUGAUUGUUAUAUGGAAAGUGGCAAGUCAAUUUCUUGACUACUUAGCAAAGUAGUUACUGUAUACAAGCAUAAACAAGGCCACCGCAUUAUUGGCUAGGUCAGUAUCAAGCUACAACUGAUUCUACUUCUAUAAGCUGCAUCAAAUUUUACAUUUUUUUUUAUGUUAAGCAAGCAAAAGAAAAUCAACACGUGAGGAUCAAUUUUCAACUGAAAUUGUAUAAAGUCAGGCAUGUGAUAACAUUACUAUGUAUUUUUUGUUUUUUAAACCAAUCAAAAGAACCUGUCCAGGACUGUGGAAACAAUUUCUUUCUAGAUCUAAUUUUCCUUCUAUUGACAUAAGCAGGGUUUGCAUCAAAGAUUCAAACAGGAGCAUACACAACAUUUGUAAAUACAAAUCAAACGAGGUCACUGCACAGCAGAGAAAUUACCACACUUUGGUUUCAUAUUUGCACAGUGAUGGAGACUUUGAAAACCUGUGCUGGAACGAUUUUGGAAAUGGUUCUAGGAUUCUGAGAGAAGCUACAAAUCUGGAUUUUGCCAAUCUGCUGUAGUAGCCUUUACAAAACUGCACCUCUCUGCUUUGGGAGAAAAGUUGUAGGUCCAAAUGCUGUUCUCUCAGUAUCUCCUGGGAAUGUGAUGCAUCAUGGAAGGACUGGCUUUGGAGGAAAAGGGUGACAUGGGAUAGAGAAAGAAUAUCAGUCUGAGCCAUGGAAGUGUUAUUUCCUUCCUCGUACACUUCCAAAUCUGGUGAAAAAUAUGACACGGUGGUUCAGGGCAGUCAGAGCCUUGGACAGCCCUCAAACUUACAACUGUUACUUAUUAUGAGCCACAACUAGAAACAGCAGACAUUUAAGUAGAGUGUUACGCAUUCCUUUCAAAGACCAUACUGCCAUUGGUUGUUUGAAGAUGAAAAGCAGAAAUAUGCCUUGAGCCCAGUAGACCAUAGGAAACAUCUACCAAAGCUGAGCUCGCUGACUUUGUUGUUCAAAUAAACUGUCCUUGAGAAAUAUAAAAAAAGGCUCUAAAAAGGCAGUAUUUAUCAAACUGAGAAAGUGCAUGGGGGUAUCACAAAUUAUUAAAAGGCAAAUACAUGUCAUUGUUCAAGUAGCUUCUGAAAUAAGCUUCCUAACUCCUAAAGGGAAUAAGAUUUUGUUUGUUAAGAAUUACUCUGUAAUUGAUCUAACAUCCUGCACUCAUAUUUAGCUAAUAUUGUUAUGCAUGGGAUUUGUGCCAAUAACCUGAAAAAAAAUGAUAUGAAAUUAGUCUUACAGUUAAAUUAUGGUGCAUUUAAAAGACUGGAAAAUUAAUGUAUAGGAACAUAGCUAAUGUUUACAAUAACACUAGAGUUUGCUGGUAUGUCUCAAGUCAUUUGUUAAUAUUUUUUAAAGGUUCAAAACUUCCUAGUAUUUUCACCUCCUUGUCAUAAUAUCUAAUUCUAUGUUACAUUGCAAACAUCCUGUUUAACAAAAUUCUGCCUCUUCUAAUUCCUCCAGAUACAAACUUAUUGCAUCAAUAAAAGGACUUCCCCUGGUGUAGCACUGCUACAUUUUUUGCUGUUACCUU